rnacentral:rRNA from 1 species
UACGUAGGGUGCGAGCGUUAAUCGGAAUUACUGGGCGUAAAGCGUGCGCAGGCGGUUUGCUAAGACCGAUGUGAAAUCCCCGGGCUUAACCUGGGAACUGCAUUGGUGACUGGCAGGCUAGAGUAUGGCAGAGGGGGGUAGAAUUCCACGUGUAGCAGUGAAAUGCGUAGAGAUGUGGAGGAAUACCGAUGGCGAAGGCAGCCCCCUGGGCCCAAUACUGACGCUCAUGCACGAAAGCGUGGGGAGCAAACGAGGAU